rnacentral:rRNA from 1 species
UACGGGGGGGGUAAGCGUUGUUCGGAAUUACUGGGCGUAAAGGGCUCGUAGGCGGCCAACUAAGUCAUACGUGAAAUCCCUCAGCUUAACUGGGGAACUGCGUGUGAUACUGGAUGGCUUGGAUUUGGGAGAGGGAUGCGGAAUUCCAGGUGUAGCGGUGAAAUGCGUAGAUAUCUGGAGGAACACCGGUGGCGAAGGCGGCAUUCUGGACCGAAACUGACGCUGAGGCGCGAAAGCCAGGGGAGCAAACGGG